AGAGUUUGAUCAUGGCUCAGGACGAACGCUGGCGGCGUGCUUAACACAUGCAAGUCGAGCGGUAAGGCCCUUUCGGGGGUACACGAGCGGCGAACGGGUGAGUAACACGUGGGUAACCUGCCCUCAGCUCUGGGAUAAGCCCGGGAAACUGGGUCUAAUACCGGAUAUGACUCCGCAUCGCAUGGUGUGGGGUGGAAAGCCUUGUGCGGCUGAGGAUGGGCCCGCGGCCUAUCAGCUUGUUGGUGGGGUAGUGGCCUACCAAGGCGACGACGGGUAGCCGGCCUGAGAGGGCGACCGGCCACACUGGGACUGAGACACGGCCCAGACUCCUACGGGAGGCAGCAGUGGGGAAUAUUGCGCAAUGGGCGAAAGCCUGACGCAGCGACGCCGCGUGAGGGAUGACGGCCUUCGGGUUGUAAACCUCUUUCAGCUCCGACGAAGCCUUCGGGUGACGGUAGGGGCAGAAGAAGCACCGGCCAACUACGUGCCAGCAGCCGCGGUAAUACGUAGGGUGCAAGCGUUGUCCGGAAUUAUUGGGCGUAAAGAGCUCGUAGGCGGUUUGUCGCGUCGACUGUGGAAACUCAGGGGCUCAACUCCGAGCUUGCAGUUGAUACGGGCAGACUAGAGUUCGGCAGGGGAGACUGGAAUUCCUGGUGUAGCGGUGAAAUGCGCAGAUAUCAGGAGGAACACCGGUGGCGAAGGCGGGUCUCUGGGCCGAUACUGACGCUGAGGAGCGAAAGCGUGGGGAGCGAACAGGAUUAGAUACCCUGGUAGUCCACGCCGUAAACGUUGGGCGCUAGGUGUGG
rnacentral:rRNA from 1 species